AGCUUUGCGCAGUGGCAGUAUCGUAGCCAAUGAGGUUUAUCUGAGGCGCGAUUAUUGCUAAAAAAUAAAAUAAAAUAAAAUAAAAUCCCUUCCUUGCCUGCGGAGGC
rnacentral:snRNA from 1 species